UAUGGCAUUGGUUAGCCGGCUAACGACCAUAAUAGGCCUAUUGCACAUGUAAUGAUUAAAAGAGUGAAACAGUAGCGUAAGCGGUGUGGAGUCCAGCCUGAACAGUAAGGAUUUGUUGUUGUCAUAUUGUGCAGGCACAAUCGAGUCCAGUCGUCCACGGGAGUCGCACUAGAUAAGUCGCAAACAUCGAUGCAAGGGAAGAAACAGGGCAGGAGAAUAAACAAGAGACUAACCCGAACCAGAGAUUUUCUGUCUUUUUGGUUUUCCGUCACCUAACCGCGGGUAGCACUGAUCCAGCGCCAGCAGAAGACUCAUCAACCGCCCGUUCUACCUCCGUGGAACGUUGACAGAGUAUAAGAAAAGCUCCCAAUCCCUAGAUCGUAGUAGGGUUUGAAAGCAAACUGCAGCUGUAGAAAGCUCGCCGACAUGUUUACAUAACAACCUUUCGUAUAUUGAAGAGAAGAUAGUUGUGGACAACAACACGGGGGUUCAGCAUGGAACAUCUGAUGGUUAUUGUCGACGGUUAUUGUGUAAAGAAGACUACGUGUAUGUAGAUUGCGAAGUUGAUGAAUAAUUUUUCAUGUACCUUUCAAUGACGAGCGUCACGCGAAAUGUUUCGCGCUAACCUAAACCGUAAAUAUACAAUAUCGGAACCCAGGCGUCGUACAGAAUGAUUAUGAUUACGGUCACAAAACGUUUCGCUCGAUUUACAUUGGAGAGCAGUGUUAGCUUCGAAUCUUCAAGAGUUGCACGCGAAAAUUCAUAUACUGCUAACAGGAUCGAUAAAAAGCUUAUCUAGCUAAAUGGAUCAUCUUCAGAAAUGUAACAGAUACAUUACGCUAACGUCAAGUACAUGUUUUUGUUUAUGGCUAAAUGCGCAUAUUAAACACUGUGAGCACGAGAGCUAGCCCGCUGCCACAGGAAAGUACUAUUGAUGAUUA